GGGCAAGGAAAUAGUCUUUAGUGGAAACCACGGUGGCGAGCUGACAGCUGCAUUGCUAAGCGAUGGUACAGAAUAACUGUGAGACAGAGAGCUACAGUGUGGAGAAAUUUGCUGGAAAGCACUCACUACUGGGUCUGAGAACUCGGCCAACAGCCACAUCUUUCCAGCCAUUUCUAACAAAGGGAGUGUGCUGACUGCUUGGCGCCCUCUUCUAUGGCAAGGGACACCUGGUGUUGAGAAAUGCAAGCACAUGGCUCAGCCUACAGAGGGCCCUUGAUGGAGUUAUAAUUAAUGUGCCAUCUGCCACCUUCAAGAUUUAGUGGCACAGAAAAUGCUCACCUUUAUGACGAGUUCUGAAAGAAGAAAGAGAAGGUCAAAGUUCCUGGCACGUUUGAGGGUCACAGAACGUUGUCCCUGGGUUGCAGAUAAAACCCAGGGCCCCGGCAAUGCUGGUACAGUGCCCUAUUGCUGAGUCACCCACCCUGCCCUUAGAAUCUGGAGACCCUGCUAAAAACAAACCAGGAAGAUUGUCUUCAGAAAAAUGCAUGGCCACAGCUCUACAGAAAUGUCGAUGUCCAUAUUUUAAUCUCCGGAGUCCUGAAAUUUCACUAUCGGAAGGUGUCACUCACUUUAGAAUCCGGGAGGGGAUGUCUGGUUCCUUCACCUGAGGAUCUCAAAACCUCAAACCGUUGGAUGUAUUUUCUCUUCAGAAUCUUGAGGUUCUGGGAACAGGAAAGGAAGAAUGCAGUCCCACUAUUUACACAGAGAUGUCACUUGUCGCUCGGUACCUUCAGCCUGGUCCCCAAUCUACCCUGAGCUUAUUGAGUUUUCUGAGAAGAACAUCUUUGUUUCAGUACCCUGGAGAACAAGACUCCCUGCCUCAGGUCCAGGAAGCAGUCGGGCACAGACACUUUCCACGCCCUCUCAGCUGAAGCCUGCUCCCACUUGCUGUGUUUCCUCUGCCUCCUCUCUUCAGACAUCUUCGUGGUUCUGUGGGAACUGAGUUAGGUCUCUGUGUCUACCCUGCAGCCUAUCCUAAUUUUUUCCUUGUCUUAGUCAGGGUUUCUAUUCCUGCACAAACAUCAUGACCAAGAAGCACUUGGGGAGGAAAGGGUUUAUCUGGCUUACACUUCCAUACUGCUGUUCAUCACCAAAGGAAGUCAGGACUGGAACUCAAGCAGGUCAGAAAGCAGGAGCUGAUGCAGAGGUCAUGGAGGGAUGUUCUUUACUGGCUUGCUUUCCCCGGCUUGCUCAGCCUGCUCUCUUAUAGAACCCAAGACUACCAGCCCAGAGAUGGUCCCACCCACAAGGGGCCCUUCCCCCUUGAUCCCCUUGAUCACUAAUUGAGAAAAUGCCCCACAGCUGGAUCUCAUGGAGGCACUUCCCCAACUGAAGCUCCUUUCUCUGUGAUAACUGCAGCUUGAGUCAGGUUGACACACAAAACCAGCCAGUACACUCCUCAUUAAUUAUGUUGUUUUUUUAGGCUUUCAAGUUUCCCUCACUGUCGUUUCCAUAGAGUCUUUGGGAAAGUGGGAAAUUUGUGAUUGAUGCAUUUCACUAGUGUGGUGGUUUGUAUAUGCUCUGCCCGGGGAAUGGCACUAUUAGAAGGUGUGGCCCUGUUGGAGUAGGUGUGUCACUGUGGGUGUGGGCUAUAAGACCCUCAUCCUAGCUGCCUAGAAGUCAGUCUUCUCCCAGCAGCCUUCAGAUGAAGAUGUAGCUCUUCCUGCACCAUGCCUGCCUGGAUGCUGCCAUGUUCCCACCUUGAUAAUGGACUGAGCCUCUGAACCUGUAAGCCAGCCCCAAUUAAAUGUUGUUCUUUAUAAGA
rnacentral:lncRNA from 1 species